GGCCACUGCGCGUGAGGCCGAGACGCUGAAAGUCCAGAUUUAAAGUGCAAAAAAUUAAGCCAUUGAAUCUGCCUGUCCAUGACGUAGUAAGACACACUAUGAGCCAGUAUGAUCCGACCAGACCUUACAUCAGCAUUCAGGAGUUGUCGGAGAAGAAAGAGGCUGAUUGAAGCGGGACAGAUGACAUGGAUCCAUCCUUCCACAGCCAGGAGCGCACCGACCUGUGUCUCACACUUCAUAUAUGACUGGAAGCUACACUGGAUCUCACAGCUACACACCACAGACGUCUACACACUGGAGAAGAUUCAGACAGUCCCACAAAGAAGUCAUGACCCAGAGGCUGCAGAGAAACAUUUCAAGCCUCACCUGAGUUUUUGUACAAUAUUUUUGCUGUAUGUAAAUAAAGCUUUGACUCCACA